AGGAGUUGGAUACUCCACUGACUGAGCCAGCCAGGUGCCCCUCAGGUGCAUAUAAGUUAUAUAAAUAACAGCACUUCUACAUUAGGUUACUUAGCUGGUUAGUGUACUAGAUUUUGAUAUUAUAAAAUAAUAUCAAGAUUAUAUUUCCUAUCCAUUGAUAUCAGGCAUGGCAAUGUAUAAAAGUGACAUAGCCAGUUCAAAGCAGAAGCUUUAAGAGCUGUUGAAUUGUUUCACCAUCUCUUUUUUCCCUCUGCCACAAGACUUUUAUGUUCUGUGUAAGUGCUGCUUCUUCAACCUAGGUCCUGGAAUAAAGGUGGUAUGGAACAGAACAGCUGCCAACUUACAAUGGACAUGGAUAUGAGAAAUAAUUCCUUGUUGUUGAAUGGAAUGUUCCUGGGCAUGUAAAUGUUCAACCACAGAAGAUAAAACGCAAUAUUUUACAAGAUGGCCUACUAAUUUAAGUUCCUACAAGUAAUUAACAACUGAACUUGGGAACACGCAUCCUCUCCAACACUUGGUAUUUGUAUUGAAUAGCUUCUAUUUGCCCCUCCCCAUCAAUUCUGUACCCUUUUCACCCUACUCUAUGCCCCAGAGGCUGACCUGUAUGGAUUUCAUCAAUGUCAGGUAUGUAUAUAACAAAUAUACUUUCCUAAUUUGUACCUUG